AGAGUUUGAUCCGGCUCAGAUUGAACGCUGGCGGCAUGCCUUACACAUGCAAGUCGAACGGCAGCACGGACUUCGGUCUGGUGGCGAGUGGCGAACGGGUGAGUAAUAUAUCGGAACAUACCCAGUAGUGGGGGAUAACUAUCCGAAAGGAUAGCUAAUACCGCAUACGAUCUGUGGAUGAAAGCAGGGGAUCUUCGGACCUUGUGCUAUUGGAAUGGCCGAUAUCUGAUUAGCUAGUUGGUAGGGUAAAAGCCUACCAAGGCGACGAUCAGUAGCUGGUCUGAGAGGACGACCAGCCACACUGGAACUGAGACACGGUCCAGACUCCUACGGGAGGCAGCAGUGGGGAAUUUUGGACAAUGGGGGCAACCCUGAUCCAGCAAUGCCGCGUGAGUGAAGAAGGCCCUCGGGUUGUAAAGCUCUUUUGUCAGGGAAGAAACGGAGUUCUCUAAUAUAGGAUUCUAAUGACGGUACCUGAAGAAUAAGCACCGGCUAACUACGUGCCAGCAGCCGCGGUAAUACGUAGGGUGCAAGCGUUAAUCGGAAUUACUGGGCGUAAAGCGUGCGCAGGCGGUUUUGUAAGUCUGAUGUGAAAUCCCCGGGCUCAACCUGGGAACUGCAUUGGAGACUGCAAGGCUAGAGUGUGUCAGAGGGGGGUAGAAUUCCACGUGUAGCAGUGAAAUGCGUAGAGAUGUGGAGGAAUACCGAUGGCGAAGGCA
rnacentral:rRNA from 1 species